UACGUAGGGGGCAAGCGUUGUCCGGAAUCAUUGGGCGUAAAGAGCGUGUAGGCGGCCCGGUAAGUCCGCCGUGAAAGUCCAGGGCUCAACCCUGGAAUGCCGGUGGAAACUGCCGGGCUGGAGUCCGGAAGAGGCGAGUGGAAUUCCUGGUGUAGCGGUGAAAUGCGCAGAUAUCAGGAGGAACACCGAUGGCGAAGGCAGCUCGCUGGGACGGUACUGACGCUGAGACGCGAAAGCGUGGGGAGCAAACAGG
rnacentral:rRNA from 1 species